GAUGAACGCUGGCGGCGUGCCUAAUACAUGCAAGUCGAGCGAGCAGAUAAGGAGCUUGCUCCUUUGACGUUAGCGGCGGACGGGUGAGUAACACGUGGGUAACCUACCUAUAAGACUGGAAUAACUCCGGGAAACCGGGGCUAAUGCCGGAUAACAUUUAGAACCGCAUGGUUCUAAAGUGAAAGAUGGUUUUGCUAUCACUUAUAGAUGGACCCGCGCCGUAUUAGCUAGUUGGUAAGGUAACGGCUUACCAAGGCAACGAUACGUAGCCGACCUGAGAGGGUGAUCGGCCACACUGGAACUGAGACACGGCCCAGACUCCUACGGGAGGCAGCAGUAGGGAAUCUUCCGCAAUGGGCGAAAGCCUGACGGAGCAACGCCGCGUGAGUGAUGAAGGUCUUCGGAUCGUAAAACUCUGUUAUUAGGGAAGAACAAAUGUGUAAGUAACUGUGCACGUCUUGACGGUACCUAAUCAGAAAGCCACGGCUAACUACGUG
rnacentral:rRNA from 1 species